rnacentral:rRNA from 1 species
CGGACGGGUGAGGAGCACAUCGGAAUCUACCCUGUCGUGGGGGACAACGUAGGGAAACUUACGCUAAUACCGCAUACGACCUUCGGGUGAAAGCGGGGGACUCGCAAGAGCCUCGCGCGACUGGAUGAGCCGAUGUCCGAUUAGCUAGUUGGCGGGGUAAAGGCCCACCAAGGCGACGAUCGGUAGCUGGUCUGAGAGGACGACCAGCCACACUGGAACUGAGACACGGUCCAG